GAUGAACGCUGGCGGCGUGCUUAACACAUGCAAGUCGAACGAAGCACUUUAUUUGAUUUCCUUCGGGACUGAUUAUUUUGUGACUGAGUGGCGGACGGGUGAGUAACGCGUGGGUAACCUGCCUUGUACAGGGGGAUAACAGUUGGAAACGGCUGCUAAUACCCCAUAAGCGCACGGCAUCGCAUGAUGCAGUGUGAAAAACUCCGGUGGUAUAAGAUGGACCCGCGUUGGAUUAGCUAGUUGGUGAGGUAACGGCCCACCAAGGCGACGAUCCAUAGCCGACCUGAGAGGGUGACCGGCCACAUUGGGACUGAGACACGGCCCAAACUCCUACGGGAGGCAGCAGUGGGGAAUAUUGCACAAUGGGCGAAAGCCUGAUGCAGCGACGCCGCGUGAGCGAAGAAGUAUUUCGGUAUGUAAAGCUCUAUCAGCAGGGAAGAUAAUGACGGUACCUGACUAAGAAGCACCGGCUAAAUACGUG
rnacentral:rRNA from 1 species